rnacentral:lncRNA from 1 species
UUCACAUUUACAGCUAGGAUGCUGUCUUACCUAGCUUGUCUGAAUGAUUCUCUCAAAGAUUUACAUGUUACUUUUUCCAGCUUGAAGGGAAAGUGGUGGCUGGCCCUCUCCAAAUGGUCCCUGUGCAUCUGGACCACACAGAGGACUCAGAUUCAAGUUUGGGGUAUUCUUUCUGGAUCAUGGCCACCUCUCUCAUGCAGUCUUGGAAACAAAGAGGUCCCUGACUAUCCAGUGACUUGAGGACGGAGAGUUGGAUGCAGCAGAAAGAACACUGGUCUGAGAGAUCAGAGACGCAAUCCCAGAACUUCUACAUACUCACUAACGCUGGACCAAAGACAACCACCUUCUUCUUCCGAAGCCCAGGUGCCCUGUCUGUACGUGGUGAGAUACAACUCCCCUGUCUUCUGAUGUUAUCUACGUAAAGAAAAUUUCUACAUUUAGGUUUCUACACAUUGCAAAUAUCCAAAGAUCAGUCAGGAAAGAUCGAAUCAGGAAAAUAACAUUGAUACAUACAUAUAUUCCUGAAUUAGUUUCUGGACCAGGAAUAAGACAUGAGAGAAUGUGUUCAGAGCAGGCUAGAUCUCCUCAUUAUUGUAUUUUUUUUUUCUGAAUUAGAAUCCAAUUCAGGAAUAUACACUGCAUUCAGUUUCCAUGUCUCACUAGUAUCUUUUAAUCCAGAAGAGUACCUCAGCAUUUCUUUGUUUUGUCAUUGCAUGGCACUUUUAAAGGAUACUGCCUGAUUGUUUUGUACUCUGUCCCUCGGAUUGAGUUGACUGAGGUUUCCUCGUGAUCCCACUCAGGUUAUGCAUUUUUGGCAGGAAUCCCACGGACACUGCGUCUUUCUCAGUGCCUUGUAUCAGACUGCACGUGUUUUCAAUUUAUCUCAUGUAAGGAAUUUGGGUGAGUCGUUUUGAAAAUUCUUUUGUUGUCUUCCAAUUCUGUAUAAGUCUGAAUAAAGAGUUUGCAAGUUAAAAAAAAAUCUGUACU